rnacentral:lncRNA from 1 species
AAAUCCCACAUUUAAGCGAAAAUCACGCAUUUUCUCUUCGCAAAUCCCCCAAUUAACCCAAAAAACCACGAGUUUUCUCUUCCGAAAUCCCCCAUUUAACCAGAAAUCACACGUUUUCCCUUCGCAAAACCCCCAUUUAAGCGAAAAUCUCACGUUUUCUCUUUGAGAAUCGUCAAUUUAAGUGAAAAUCAAGCGUUUUCUCUUUGAGAAUCCCCCAUUUAAGUGAAGAUCAUGAAUUUUCUCUUCUCAAAUACCCCAUUUAAGCGAAAAUCACGCGUUUUCUCUUCGGAAAUCCCCCAUUUAAGCGAAAAUCACGCGUUUUCUCUUCGCAAAUCCCCCAUUUAACUUGAAAAUCACGCGUUUUCUCUUCGGAAAUCCCCCAUUUAAGCGAAAAUCACGCGUUUUCUCUUCGAGAAUCCAACAUUUAACCAGAAAAUCAUGUGUUUUCUCAAAUCCCCCAUUUAAGCGAAAAUCACGCGUUUUCUCUUCGCAAAUCCCCCAUUUAACCAGAAAACCAAGCAUUUUCUCUUCGAGAAUCCCCCAUUUAACCCGAAAAUCAUGUGUUUUCUCAAAUCCCACAUUUAAGCGAAAAUCACGCAUUUUCUCUUCGCAAAUCCCCCAAUUAACCCAAAAAACCACGAGUUUUCUCUUCCGAAAUCCCCCAUUUAACCAGAAAUCACACGUUUUCCCUUCGCAAAACCCCCAUUUAAGCGAAAAUCUCGCGUUUUCUCUUUGAG